GACACCUGAUUUUCUGCCCCGGCCAUGGGAUGUGAAAUGUCUGCUCAUGUGCUAUGGCAGAAAACCCCUGGGUCACUGUCCAGCUCAACCCCCUUCUCUGAGAAACACCAUCUCAGCUCCAAGUUGUUGUGGUCUUUCCCUGCUAAUAGAAUGGACCCCACUCCCAAAAGUUGGCUUGGGCAUAGAGAUUGAUGACUCCACACACAUGCCAAGAGAAUAUGAAGAUGUUUGCUGCUCACAGCAUGAGGCUUUCCUGCAAGAGUGGGGUGAACUUUCAAACGGGUCUAGAAUGCCUUCAAAGAGCAAGGAAAGGACAUUGUCUUAGAGUGUGAUGGAGCUUACAGUGUCUCACGGUCGGUGAUACCAAAAUACCAUGCAUGCUCUGUUAACCCCAGUUUUUGAAACCUACUGGGUAGAAUUGCAGAGUGGGUGAGACCCAGCUGCAGGAGGAAGCAGAAAAUAAGCCAGACCCUAAAAGGAUUCACAAGGAACUGCACUGAAAGCUGCCUUGCAAAUCAGGACAUGGCUCCAACAUCGGAAAAGCUUAGAAGCCACCACAUACAUCCACACAACAAAAAAAAAAAUGCUGACUAAAUUAAAAAAGGAUGACUUUUCCUGGACACGUCAGAGCACUGAGGUUGCCAGGGGAUCCCCUGCCCUGAAAUCCGAGGGCACAGGUGAGUCCAAAGGGUUAGAACCGUGAUGUGUCUAUCUGGAGCAGAAGCCGCUGGGGCCACACACAGGUGAGAACACUCACAUGGUGGAUUUGCUGGAUUGUCGGAGGCUGAGCGUGGGCUCAAGUAAGAGUGAAAAACUUCUGGGGGGUCACAGUCUUG